GUGUAUACCCAUACCACCUGAACCCACCUGGUCUUGAUUGAUCUUAGAAGCUAAGCUGGGUCAGGCCCAGUUAAUACUUGGAUGGAAGAAGCUGAUCUACUGAUUGUAUAUGUA
ensembl:rRNA 5S_rRNA 5S ribosomal RNA